rnacentral:lncRNA from 1 species
CUCAGAUCAGCCUAGACAUAGGUAGUCUCUCAUGGCUUCGAGCAAGCUAGUCAUCUGCUCCGCCAUUUUUGAAGGACCUUGGCUGUGCCUAACUUGUCUGAGAAAUAUAGAGAAGUUCCCCUGGGAGCCACUCC